AUGGAAUAUUAUGAACAAACACAUGAUGAAAAUCCUGAGGAGGAUGACGAGGAAACCCUUGGUAGGGGCAAGAGACAAAGGACUACAAAGACCUUUGGUGAUGAUUUCUUCGUGUACCUCGUGGAUGAUACUCCCACUUCUAUUUCAGAAGCGUAUGCCUCUCCAGAAGCUGACUACUGGAAGGAUGCGGUCCGUAGCGAGAUGGAUUCCAUCAUGGCUAACGGGACAUGGGAGAUCACUGACCGUCCCUAUGGUUGCAAACCACUGGGAUGUAAGUGGGUGUUCAAAAAGAAGCUUAGGCCCGAUGGUACGAUUGAAAAGUACAAGGCUAGGCUUGUGGCCAAGGGCUAUGACCAGCAAGAAGAGGAAGAUUUAUUUGAUACUUAUUCACCUGUGGCUAGACUGACCACCAUUCGAGUAUUACUCUCGUUGGCGGCCUCACAUGGUCUUCUCGUCCAUCAGAUGGAUGUUAAGACGGCUUUUCUAAAUGGAGAGCUAAAGGAGGAAAUCUACAUGCAACAGCCUGAUGGCUUUGUGAUAGAUGGUCAGGAAAGAAAGGUGUGUAGGUUGAUAAAAUCUUUAUAUGGCCUGAAACAAGCACCUAAGCAAUGGCAUGAUAAGUUUAAUACAACUCUGACAUCUGUUGGUUUCGUUGUUAAUGAGGCUGACAAAUGUGUAUACUAUCGCCAUGGUGGGGGCGAAGGAGUUAUACUGUGCUUGUAUGUUGAUGACAUACUGAUAUUCGGAACAAACCUCAAAGUCAUUGAGGAGGAUGUUAUCUUGAACAUCAAGCUACUGAGAGAUAAUGAGGGUGGGAUCACACUUCUGCAAUCCCAUUACGUUGAGAAGGUGUUGAGUCGUUUUGGAUAUUCGGACUGCACACCAUCUCAAACACCAUAUGAUCCUAGCGUAUUGAUUCGAAAGUCCAAAGGCAUGGCUAAAGAUCAAUUGAGAUACUCUCAAAUCAUUGGUUCACUGAUGUACCUAGCGAGCGCAACGAGGCCUGACAUCGCGUUUGCUGUGAGCAAACUGAGCCGGUUUGUUUCCAAACCGGGUGAUGUACAUUGGCAUGCUGUUGAGAGAGUUAUGCGCUAUCUGAAAGGUACUAUGAACUAUGGACUUCACUAUACCGGAUACCCAGAUGAAGGCCACAACUGGGUAUAUGUUUACUCUUGGAGGUGGCGCUGUUUCCUGGAAGUCUUGCAAGCAAACGAUCUUAACGAGAUCGACAAUGGAAGCAGAAUUAAUGGCAUUAGACACAUCUGGUGUUGA
rnacentral:rRNA from 1 species